UAUAGUCUUGCAUGCAAGGCUCUUACAGCAAGACUAUAGUCUUGCAUACUGCAAGACUAUAGUCUUGCAUACAGCAAGACUAUAGUCUUGCAUACAGCAAGGCUAUAGUCUUGCAUGCAAGGCUAUUACAGCAAGGCUAUAGUCUUGCAUGCAAGGCUAUUACAGCAAGGCUAUAGUCUUGCAUACAAGGCUAUUACAGCAAGACUAUAGUCUUGCAUACUAUAGUCUUGCAUGCAAGGCUCUUUCAGCAAGACUAUAGUCUUGCAUGCAAGGCUCUUACAGCAAGACUAUAGUCUUGCAUGCAAGGCUCUUACAGCAAGACUAUAGUCUUGCAUACAGCAAGGCUAUAGUCUUGCAUGCAAGGCUAUUACAGCAAGGCUAUAGUCUUGCAUACAAUGCUAUUACAGCAAGACUAUAGUCUUGCAUACAGCAAGGCUAUAGUCUUGCAUGCAAGGCUCUUACAGCAAGACUAUAGUCUUGCAAGACUAUAGUCUUGCAUGCAAGGCUAUUACAGCAAGGCUAUAGUCUUGCAUAAAAAAAACGCCAAAAUUUAAUAUGUAGAAAUAACAUCCCGAACCGUCUAUUGAUUGUCAAAAUGUUCAUUUUCUGUUUGGAAAAAACUUAUAACCCAUAAAAUUUGUUUUAAAAAUAACAAGGCUACAGCCUUAUGGUUUAAUGAUUUUUCACCAACAAACUCAAACAUUACCAUUUCUUAAAAAUUGUUACGUAAUUUCCAAUUAACCAUGAGCAUAUUCUAUACAGUACAUGUAUUUAAAUACUAUGAAGAACUUAAAAUUUAAGUCUACACCUUAGGUUACAAUACGAAUAAAAGAAAACCAGGAAAUGUCGUAA